GCGCCGCGGCUGGCGUUUCUGUUUUCUCAUUUCUCUUCAGGCGACAGCACGGCAAAGCAGGAUGGGGCCGGGCCACGCUACAAUCGCAUACGUACACGCCAUUGUCUAAAGGGGCACGCCCAGGGCACGCGCGACCGCCUGCAGAGGCGCUGGCGAGGGGGCACCAAAGACGAUCGGCUCCACCGGCGGCGGCGUGUCCAAGAGGGGCAGAGCGAAAAACUGGUUUCCGGCGGUGGCCACGGCGGCGGCAUCAUCGGCAAAGAGACCAGAGGGCAAACCGGCGCGACUCAACGCCGCCUCGUCAAAGAGCACGCCCACCAUGAAAUCGAUCAGAUCGUCGGGCUGGCGAAAGGCCCGAUUCAAUACAGAAGGUGCGGUGCUGCGCUGUGCCGCGCGCACGACGGCAACAAAGAGAGGCGACACACCAGGCUCCGCCACAGGAGCAGCGACGGGCUGGCGCGCGACGACAUCGGCAUAGAGUGUGUACAGCCCGUUGACCGCCCAUUGGCGCACGGCCAGCGGCGCGCGCGCCCCAUAUGCCACCGUCGCCAGCAGCACGGCAACGUCGCGCGCAUAGGCAUUCAAAUACGGAUGAAAGAUGACGUGGCGACUUUCCGUGUUGCCGGCCGCCACGAGCGAGGCCAGCGACGCGGGAGUGGGCGUUGUCGGUGCCGGUCCCGACGUGUCGGGCGGUGUCGGGCCGUAGAUGCUGGCGAGGCCAUCGUGGCCGGCCACGUCGACACCCAGAGCGCGCAGCCGAUCGCUGGUGGCAAGAGCAUAGUCGGUGGGGCGCGCUAGCCAACACUUGGUGCGCACGGCAAAGCGCCGCCAACCAUAGGCGCGCGAUUGUAGCGCGUAGCGAAAGACCGGGCCGCCGGGGCACGGUGCGCCAUUUCGCGUGCAAGUCGAUCCCCGUGCGGCCGCACGCGCCUCAGCAUCUAUGGACGAGGCAGGCGUCGUCGGUGCGAGAAUCCGCGACAGGAGCACGUUACGGCCGUACAUGUCGUUGUUGACAAUGUCGUAGACGCGCGCAGCCCACGCUAUCCCGGCACACACCUGAAAGACCACGCUCAUCCACUCGGCCUCGGAGCGCAACGGUCCGUUGGUCAUCCAUGCGGCCAGAUCGCAGUCGGCCAUCUCCUGGAAAAUGUCAACGCUCCCGGCGGGCACCUCGCCCUUGAGCCGCGCCGACGCGACCUCGGUCGGCGUCGGAUAGGCGACGGCCGUGCCGUACACGCACGGCAGAUUGGGACACGCGCGGAUCUUGACCAGGGCCGAGAGCAUGUCCGUGAGCAGUGACUCGCGUACGGCCACCGCGGGCCUUGCGCCGCCGGGCGUCACCUUGACGGCCAACGGCAGACGCGUGAGGUCACGCAGAGGGGGCGGUGGUGCCAACGGUGUCAAUGGUGUUGACGAGGAUGAAGAUAUGGCUGGCGGCGGCAACCAGAAUGCGCUCUCUGCGCUCGACGCCGCGGCCUCGGACGACAGCGCGGUCGCAAGCGUCACUGGCGACGGCGAUUGCCGAAAGCCGGACGCGCACACCGAGCCAUAGAUUCCGGCGCCUAGCGGACGCACCAAAUAAAGAGCGGCGUCGAGACGCCGUGGAAACGUGGCCGGGAGCGCGCCAUGUAUGCGCGGCGCCACAUAGACGUGAUCAGCGAGCGCGCGACUCAUGGAGGAGGCGACGCGCGCCCGUUCUUCGAUCGUGGAGC
rnacentral:lncRNA from 1 species